UUGGCCCAGAAUCAAGGCCAGCAGUUUGCUGAAGCUGUUGGUUUCAAGCAGGAGCCUAAAGAAAUGUCUUUCUUUGGUCUGUUGGCCAUUUCAAAAUUAUGGAAAUCUAAUGGUCAGUUCGUUAGAAAGAAACUUCU
rnacentral:snoRNA from 1 species